GAGCGGCCCGGCCUUCUGGGUACCGAGCGGCGAACGGGUGCCUACACGUGACGCACCUGCCCCUGGCUCUGGGAUAGCCUCCGUGAAACGGGGAUUAUACCCGAUAUGACUGCUCCCUGCAUGGGGGGUGGUGGAAAGUUUUUCGGCUGGGGCGGGGCUCGCGGCCUAUCAGCUUGUUGGGGGGGUGACGGCCCACCAAUGCGACGACUGGUAGCCGGCCUGAUAUGGCGAUCGGCCAUUCUGGGACUGAUACACUGUCCAUACUCCUGCGGGAUGCAUCUGUGGGGAAUAUUGCGCAAUGGGCGGAAUCCUGACUCAUCGACUCCGUGUGGGGGAUGAAGGCCUUCGGGUUGUAAACCUCUUUCACCAGUGACGAUUCGGAUGUGACUGUACCUGUGGAAUAUGCGCCGGCUAACUACGUGCCAUCAGCCGCGGUAAU
rnacentral:rRNA from 1 species